rnacentral:lncRNA from 1 species
AGAGAGACUCCGACUGCGACUGCGACGAAGGUAAUGUGAGAGUGUUGAAAGCGCGAGAUGGAGAUUGGGAGCUUCAAUUUCGUCUCUCUGGGCCUUCUCUCUUUCUUCUUCAUCAUCCUCCAGUGAGGAUUUUGUGGUGGUGGCCCUGCGAAUGCUACACCUGACAAACAUUCUAGCUCCUGCUACUUCUAGUGUCUGCAAAUACAAGAAGCUGUCUUAACAACUCCGAAGGAAGUACAUGAUUCUAAAGUUUCCAUCUUUAUUCCAUGACAAACAGAUCCCAAAGAAGAAUGCAUUUUUGCUAAUUAUCUUUGCAAGUUUUGGCUAGAUGAAAAAUUGUCCAUUCUUGAUCAAGGAGAGACAAAGUCAUUUUCCUGUUGAGGACAGUAGAGGAGUUUCUGUUGCAAGAAACAAGGAGUUGCUUCGGCGAAGACAAGGUCUCCAAGAUCAGCACUCUUCAAAUGGUUGAUUGAGAGUUGAAUUCCAGCGACCCUUUUGAAACCAGAAGCCAUGUGAGCUCCCAUACUUGCUAAAGACUCGGCUAUCAAAGCAGAUACACCACCGUGUAACACCUUGAAAGGCUUUUUGAAAGGAAAUUGAAAAUCUUUAUCAGAAUUUGGGGUUAGAACAAAGGGCCAAUGAUCAAAUUGAAGAAGAAUGAAACCUGGCAGCAGACGGGAGAAACAGGAAGGCGACCUGUGAUACGUGUCGGAGAUAAUUCAUCGAACUCGAAACCCAACAUGUGAAGUGGAGGGUCUAUAGCUUUGGUGUUGGACGAUGCAGAAUCCAUUUUUGUGCUCUGUUGCAGAGAGAGAGAUGGAGGUAGGUAGGGUGGGUGUGUUAGAGAUGAUAAGAGAGUUUGAGAAAUGGAUUGAAUUGGUGGUAGUUGGGAUUAACGUCAAGUGGAAAUUUCGAUGAAAUGGGUUUUUUGCGUAGGUGCGUGAAAGACGUUUACUUGACUGA